ACACAACUCCUCUAAAAGACCACUCAGUGGUUAAAAUAAUGUAUAAUAAUAAGACAAUAAAAUAAAUGUUUUGUUAUAUAUCAAGGGGAAAUGUUACCAAGUAUCAAAGUUGCAUAAUACAGUAUGCCAAAACAGUUUUCCAAAAUGGAUAAUACAAUAUAAACAGGUAAGGAUCAGACAUGCACAAACAAUCUCCAAUCUGAAUUCAAUGUGAGUAUAGUAGUUGAAUCAUUCUGUGAAAAAUAAAUAAGCUACUUAAGAUUGAAACACACACAAGU